GUUUAGCCUCCUCCAUGGCUCUUCUUGCCCUCCAUGACCUCUUCUCUUCCACAUAAACCAAUCGAUGAUUUCCAUUUUCUUUGCCUGCUUGUUUGAAUGUGGCCUCUGUCUUGGUUCUCACCACACCCUGCUCAGUUACAUGGUGCUUCUUCUCCAUCACUGUUGAAGGCUAUCACUCUUAUGACAAGGGACUUGUUCUAAAGGGUUUGGCUCUUGUCGUUGGAU